rnacentral:rRNA from 1 species
AGUAUAUAAUAAUUACGAAAGCAAAAAAUUAUGGCGGUAUUUUAAGCUUUUCAGAGGAAUUUGCUCUUUAAUGGAUAAAACACCUAAAUCUUACUUAAAUUUGUCAAAUCAACUUGUAUACCACUAUUAAAACAAUUAUUAACUCUAAUUGUUAAUAUUUAAAAACAUAAAUUAAUUUAAAUUAAGUCAAGGUGCAGUAAAAAUUUAAGAAUGAAGUGAAUUACAUUACUUUUAAGAGAAAUAAAAUUAAAUAAAAUUUAGGAUUUGAAAGUAAAAUUAAAAUAGAAUGUUAAUUUGAAUUAAGCUCUAAAAUAUGUACAUA